UACGGGGGGGGGCAAGCGUUGUUCGGAAUUACUGGGCGUAAAGGGCUCGUAGGCGGCCAACUAAGUCAGACGUGAAAUCCCCGGGCUUAACCUGGGAACUGCGCUUCUAACUGGCAGGCUUGAGUGUGGCAGAGGGGGGUGGAAUUCCGACGUGUAGCAGUGAAAUGCGUAGAGAUGUGGAGGAACACCGAUGGCGAAGGCAGGUCUCUGGGCAUUAACUGACGCUGAGGAGCGAAAGCAUGGGGAGCGAACAGG
rnacentral:rRNA from 1 species